UGUAUUCUGAAUUUAAAUUUAAUUGGUAGACUGAGUAAUGCAGAUUGCUCUCCCUAAGGUGAGUGGACCUCAUC